GGAAGGACCACCCCUUUUCCAGUGAAUAAUUCUAUCAAAAGAAACUGUUUUGUUCACACAAGAACCCUGGUCCCUGGGUUUUGUUAAUGGUAGCCAGCUUCAGAUACUUUUUUGCUUGGUUGGAAUGCUUUUUUUAUUGGGUACAUAGACAAAAUGACAAAACCACCAUAAACUCACACACACAAGUGAGGGAAUGGGGGUUCGAACCCCAGUCAUAACGUCUGACCUAACAAUUUCGGCAUAGGACUUGUGGAAUGUUUUGUUUAGACAAAGGGAUCCUUAUUCAGUUAUUCUCCCAUUAAUGAGAAACAAAAGGUUUAUUGUACAUAUUUUGCACAAACAGGAAAGCCAUGAUUUUCCUUUCCCACCUUAACAAUAUGGUUUUGGUUUCAUAUACAUUUAAUAGAAGAGUUCAUUGAAAUUUCAUUGACAAGCGUUCACUCCAGCUCUCCAGUGUUUUGGGAUUGCUCAGGUUGAGGUAUUUGUUGAAGAGCCGCCGCGAAGUGCUUAAAGCAUCUCCUCUACUUACAACUGGAAAUAUAUUUCUACUGCUUUGCCAAUCAUUGCUCUGGGGCCAUAAUAAUCAUGCAGAAGCCCACUCCAGUACUUGUUUCCUGUCGAAAAUGGUAAAACAGCAUGAAAUCAUUUAGUAUACCCACACAUUACAAUAAUUUUAUUUUCUUUUUCUUUGUUAACUGUUGUUCAUACCAUAGUCGCGAAGCAGACUGGCUUCUUCAUCUGUGUUGUCAAACCACAUGGUGAUUUGAGUUCUAGCAUUCCAUUCAAACUGAAAAUGUAUAGAACUAUAAAUCAAUAGAAGUAUAGGGUUAGAUGGAUUUCAGUUUUAUGUCAAUAGAAGUAAACCAAACCUGUCUCUUCUGUUCUUCAUUUUGAGCUAGUUGUAUUGCACUAUCUAACCAAGGGCCUAGAAGAAAUCCAUCAUGGCAAAGCCAACAAUGCGUCCAAAUCUUCCACCAGGUCCAGAAAUUUUUGGCCGAGUAGGGCCACUUCAUGAACAUCAUGUGAUUGGUAUGCCUCAAUGACGUUAUAGAACAGUUGAUUUGCAUAUUUUGCUAAGACUUGUCUGGUCAGAUCAACAAGGUCAUACCUGAUAAAGAAUAAAUAGCAUGAAUCUGGAUAUUGAACCUUAGCAUACAAUAAGAGAAUUUCGAGCUACAUUUUGGCGAGGUACUUUAAGAGGAGUGAGAAUUCUUAUGUAACCAACUUCUCUCACCUAUAAGUACUACUUUUUGAAAGUUCAUCUCCACUAGAUAUAAAUAGCUCCAAUGCAUAAAUUACUUCUACUGUUGAAUACCAUAAGUGAGGUCGAUCAAAUGAAUCAGUUAUUUCCUUGAUAAUUGCUCUCGAGAAUGGCUUGCCAUAGGGGCGAGAGUGUUUGUGCUCUACUGAAAGUAAGGAAGGGUCUACGUCUGGGAAUGCUACAAUGAUAUCUCUGUUUUUGUCCUGUUCCCACACACCAAAAAUAUCUGGUAAAACUCAAACAUGACCUUCUAAUUUAUGCAUGUGCAGUUGAAAUUGAACAUAAGAUAUGCAGCCGAGAAAUAAAUUGGCAUAUUGUGAUAUACCCUUUUGUAUUGUUGAUUAGGGAGAAAAUGAAAUACACAAUUUUUUUUUUGCUUAACAUAAAUAUAACACAUAAAAAGGGAGUGUAGUAAUAAAGGCAAGACAGUAAAUGAAAAUAUAUUGAAGGACUGGAAGAAAUUACUAGCAGCAGGUUAUAAGUAACAACCAACUACUUACAUAGGCUCCAUCAGUGCAAUUGUAAAUGGUAUGAUACAAGACAUUCCAUCCCUCUUGUAUCAAAGGAACUUGUCUUCCAUAUCGUCUAGUUGAAUACAAAUCAACCCACACCUGAAAUAGGAACAACCAUAAUGCAUUUCAGUCUGCAAAUAAUACCAAACUAGUGAAAAUAGAAAUUAAAUAAAACAAAGCAUGGACUAAGUCUCCGGCUUCAUAUAUAUUCAAUAACCAUAAUGCAUUUCAGUCCUCGACUUCAUAUAUUCAAUAACAUUAUUGUUAAACCCAAUUAGCUUAUUAAAUAUGCAAAAAUAACUUUCAAAGGUGGAGCAGUGCACGAGGCUCCCAAAAAGUGUGGUCUGGGGGUUGGGAGAGGCUGUUCACACAAUUUGACCUCCAGGCUAUGUAACAUCGACAUUCAUACGACACUAACAUGGGUGGUUACGUUCAAUCAAUUUUAUUUUUUCAAAUUAUUACUAGUAUUUAUAUGUCAGUGUUUGAAUGUCCUUGUGUGUGUCAUGCUUCAUAGCCUCAAGUUCACAAAGCAGUUGCGUCUAGGAAGAAUAACAUUACCACAAAUAAAAGACAUGCCAUAAGGAAUACACUACACUGUUCCCCUGGUUAUGCUUAUUUCAUUCAAGGUUAACGGCAUUUAUAUGACAUAUAUUUUGAUCAUAAUUGUCAGCAUAUUGAGGUUCAUAAAUAUUCUGAUUGUUCGGUAGAAAGUAUGUCGGAAUUAUAUCCGAUGUCCAAAAUUACAAAGUAGAGGUGAAUAACUAAAUUCGUGGUAGAAAGUUUCUCCUAAAAUGUUGCAAACAGUAGGAGUGAAUCUCUAGAUUCAAAAUACUGGGCAUCCACAUUGUGAUGGGUUCCAUAGGUCAUGGCCCACCGGAGAUCCGGCUAGCACGAGAACAUGAUAAAACCUUGAGUGAAAUAGUGCAACCUACUGGUACUAAGAUUCUAUCAUCGUUACCUUAACAUUAAUUUUCUUGUGCUGAAAUGCCAUUUCAGACAUCAGAUCAUAUACUAUGGGAUUCUGUUCGAUACCUUCCAUUGACAUUCCAACUCCAACCUUCAGAAAAUCAAGCAGGUAUGAGAAGUAUGAUUUUAACAAGUUAUAGAAUUUGUCAGAAAAAACCAAGUUAUAGAAUUUGUCAGAAAAAAAACCAAGUUAUAGAAAAAUAAUUAACAACAUUACUUGCUUUAAUAAUAAUAACCUGACAAUCAUAAUCUUAACAGAGCAUAUCAAUUUGAUAUCUAUAUUUGUGAGCCUAUAAUCUCUUUACUUUUCAUUACUUAUUUUACUGUAAUUCAAAAGUGACACAGACACACUAAAUAUGGAAUUGAGCCGUAAACAAAAAAGAAUAGCUUGCCAUUGUUGAGUUAACACUUGUACGUGCUUCAAUUGGCCCAGAUGCUACUGCAUCUAAUAACCCAUACAUCUCAACGUUUCCUGCAAAAUUGUGCAGCAUACACCUGUCAAGCACAACAACACACCCAGUCAAUUAAAAGAACAUUAAAAAAUACAAUCAAAAUGAAUAAGGAUGCAUACAACACAAGUGCUAGUUACUAUAUUUCCAUAUAGCAUCAUUGUCAUAGUUAUACAUAGCAGAUAUCUAUAAAAUCACUGGUUUUAACUGCUGAAUGCUGGUCCAAGCUGAUAACGUCCAAGUAAACUUUGGUGUAUGUGAAACUAUAGGAGGCACUGGAAAAUAUAUUCACAUAUUUAUACCGUGUAUGUUUACAUAAAAGAGAGUGUGAAGCUACCCCUGUAUACUAAGUAUAGUGGAGGGAAGUGUAAUGAUAGCCAACUAAUGCAAAAUUGGGCAUUCACAAUAGAGAAGUUAUAACUUUUCAUUAGAAAA